rnacentral:rRNA from 1 species
AACGAACGCUGGCGGCAUGCCUAACACAUGCAAGUCGAACGAGACCGUCGGGUCUAGGGGCGCACGGGGGCGGAACGCGGGGGAAGCUACCCGUGGGUUCGGUAUAACUGCCCGAAAGGUGUGCUAAUGACAGAUGAUGUCAUCGGACCAAAGAUUUAUCGCCGUUGGAUGGGCGCGCGUUGGCUUAGGUGGUUGGGAGGGUAAAAGCAUACCAAGGCGACGAUCCAGGGCUGGUCUGAGAGGAUGCUCCGCCACACUGGGACUGCGACACGGCCCAGACUCCUACGGGACGGUGCAGUAUGGUAUAUUAGGCAAUGAGCGAAGGCCUGACACAGCCGCGCCGCGUAUGUGAUGCAGCGCUUAGUAUUGUAAUUCUGUUUUAGCCGGGAUGAUAAUGACAGUACCGGGUGAAUAAGCACCGGCUAACUCCGUG